rnacentral:rRNA from 1 species
UAGGGAAUCUUCCACAAUGGACGCAAGUCUGAUGGAGCAACGCCGCGUGAGUGAAGAAGGUUUUCGGAUCGUAAAGCUCUGUUGUUGGUGAAGAAGGAUAGAGGUAGUAACUGGCCUUUAUUUGACGGUAAUCAACCAGAAAGUCACGGCUAACUACGUGCCAGCAGCCGCGGUAAUACGUAGGUGGCAAGCGUUGUCCGGAUUUAUUGGGGGUAAAGCGAGCGCAGGCGGAAGAAUAAGUCUGAUGUGAAAGCCCUCGGCUUAACCGAGGAACUGCAUCGGAAACUGUUUUUCUUGAGUGCAGAAGAGGAGAGUGGAAUUCCAUGUGUAGCGGUGGAAUGCGUAGAUAUAUGGAAGAACACCAGUGGCGAAGGCGACUCUCUGGUCUGCAACUGACGCUGAGGCUCGAAAGCAUGGGUAGCGAACAGG